AGCAACACUUACUUAUUAGCAGCGACAAGGAGAGCGACAAGGAGGUAUUAGUGGUGACACCCCUGGAGGGAAAAGUUAGUGUCAUUUUUAGGCUUUUACAACCGCUGGAUGGAAUACAGAUCAAAAGGACAGGAGUCGUGGAAGGUUAAGUCAAGAAAAGUGCCUUCUCUAAAAUAAUAUGCGACUCCUGGUCCAUAUAACUAAGGCCAAACGAAGGCUCUUAUCACGUCAAGACAUUAAUUAAUUAAAGGGCUGUCUAUUUCAGUUGACCAAGUGUAACGUAAAACAGGAGGUGUGGAAGGCUAAGUCAAAAAAAUAAAAAAAUAAAAAAGUGUCAUAAGAGUAACGAUGAUAAAAAUCACAUUGAUGCAAUAGCUUUUGUGUUCAACAAGACUACACUUGUCAUUCCACUGCUUCCUUGAAAAAAAUGGUAGACAGAAGCAUCUUCCUUAUCCUCACUUUGUCUUGCUAUAUUUGCAGCAAUCCUUGUUACUCAGAAACAGAUACCUUACUGCAAGGUCAAGAGCUCAAGGACUGGGACUAUUUGAUUUCGUCAAAUAAGGUCUUUGUUUUGAAUUUCUUUGGCUUUGUAACUACCAUAAGCCCUUAUUUAGGGAUAUUCUACAACCCCCAAAGAAGCAAAAGUUAUGGUUAUGGAAGAAGAGCAUAUUAUAAUGGAGAUGGAUACGCAUAUUAUAAUAGAGAUGGGUACAAAGAAGAUAAGGCAGUGUGGGUAGCAAACAGAAACAGUCCGAGCAAAGAUAUAUACGUAAAGCUCGUGAUAGAUGUCCAUGGCAAGCUGAGCAUCUCAUCUGGCGGAGGCACUGUGGUUGAUCUCUUCAGUCCUACUCCAGUAGUAACACGCAACGCAAGUGCCACCCUGUUGGAUACUGGAAAUUUCGUCCUGCAAGAACUUUAUUCAGAUGGGUCGGUUAAGCGGGUUUUAUGGCAAAGCUUUGAUUACCCAACAGACACUCUUCUUCCAGGGAUGAAACUGGGGAUUAAUCUCAAGACCGGGCAUCGAUGGUCACUCACUUCUUGGAGGAACGAAAUUCUACCAGCCGAUGGGCCUUUUACAUUAAAAGCAGACCCCAAUGGCACAGGUCAAAUGGUGAUCCUGAGGCGAGGGAACAUCCACUGGAGGAGUGGAUCAUGGCUGAUCAAUGCUGGAUUCGAGAACGCAGAUCUACAGAAUUCGGGUCCCGAUGUUCGCCUUUACUAUAUUUCUAAUGAGACUGAGCAAUCCUUCACAUAUUUAACUAGAACCUAUGAUUCAUCGCCAGCUCUAACGAUGAAUUUAAAUGGCCAGCUUAAUGCUUCAACUCUGAAGUUAAAUGUCCAAUGCCGCUCAAUCAGCUGGGACAAUGAUUCUGGUUGUGCUGAAUAUGAGUUUCCAGAGUUAGACUGCAGGAAAGACUACCAUUUUUAUAAAGGGUUUUACGAUAUAUAUGGGAAUGAGUAUGUAUAUGAUGAAAGCUAUAACUUGACUUCAUAUGAUUGCGAAAGACUAUGCUGGACCAAUUGUUCUUGCAUGGCUUAUACUUAUGCAACCACAAACAGGGCCACCUGCAAGACCUAUGGCCCAAGGACAGGGAAAGCUAGAGAUGAGUCGUACAGAGAAUAUUAUGGCAUCGUGUACCGUGGACCUUAUCCUGAAGAAAAGGAGAAGAAGUGGGUCCGGAUUUGGUCGAUCAUCGCGAUUGCAUCUUUAGUUUCAUUCGUAUCAUGCUACUUCUUAUACAAGAAGCUAAAUAUUAACGGGAAAGCUGUUAAAUAUGUCAUGUUGGUUGUUUUUUUGGAAGUGAAGAAAAUCCUAAAGCUGUUGCUGCAUCGUCUGAGGCACUUCUACAAUAACAUACGGGCAGAUAACAAGGUGAAUGCUGAGCUGCAUUACUUCACAUUUCAAAGCAUCUCAUCAGCCACAAACAACUUCUCAAGCGCAAAUAAGUUAGGGGAGGGGGGUUUUGGAGCAGUUUAUAAGGGAAAAUUAGUUGAUGGGCAAGAGGUUGCUGUAAAACGACUUUCAAGAAGCUCUGAACAAGGAGUCAAGGAGUUUAAGAAUGAAACCGAACUCAUAGCCAAACUUCAACACACUAAUCUUGUAAGGCUUAUAGGGUGUUGCAUUGAGAAGAAAGAGAAAAUCCUUGUAUACGAAUACAUGCCUAAUAAAAGCUUGGAUUCCUUUCUAUUUGAUCCUAGGAAGAAAGGACUACUGGAUUGGAAUACCCGGUUUGUAAUCAUUGACGGCAUUGCUCAGGGACUCCUAUAUCUCCAUAGGUUUUCAAGGCUGAGGGUUAUCCAUAGAGAUCUGAAAGCUAGUAAUAUCUUGCUAGAUGACUACCUGAAGCCAAAAAUAUCAGAUUUUGGUAUGGCUAAGUUAUUUGGGAUCAAUGAGUCUGAAGCAAAUACAAGUCAAGUCGUUGGAACUCUAUCUUGGUUUGAAAUAAAACAGUGGUUAUAUGCCGCCAGAGUAUAUGUUAGAAGGCUCUGUUUCAACAAAAACAGAUGUGUUUGGUUUUGGUGUUUUGUUGCUUGAAAUUGUAAGUAGCAAAAUGAAUCACGGGAGCAACCAACAUGAUCCGGAACAUCCACUCAACCUUCUUGGACACGCAUGGGAACUAUGGAAUGAAGCAGGAAGAGGUUUGGAGUUGAUGGAUCCGGUAUUAGAAGAUUCAUGCACUCCCAAGGAAGUAAUGACAUGCAUUAAUGUGGGUCUCUUAUGUGUUCAAGAUCAUGCGAUGGAUAGACC